GGGAAUAUUGGACAAUGGGGGAAACCCUGAUCCAGCGAUGCCGCGUGAGUGAAGAAGGCCUUAGGGUUGUAAAGCUCUUUCAGUAGUGAAGAUGAUGACGGUAGCUACAGAAGAAGGACCGGCUAACUCCGUGCCAGCAGCCGCGGUAAUACGGAGGGUUCAAGCGUUGUUCGGAAUUACUGGGCGUAAAGAGCGCGUAGGCGGUGCAGAUAGUCAGAUGUGAAAGCCCUGGGCUUAACCCAGGAGGUGCAUUUGAUACUACUGUGCUAGAGUACCGAAGAGGUAAGUGGAAUUCCUAGUGUAGAGGUGAAAUUCGUAGAUAUUAGGAGGAACACCAGUGGCGAAGGCGGCUUACUGGUCGGUAACUGACGCUGAGGCGCGAAAGCGUGGGGAGCAGACAGGAUUAGAUACCCUGGUAGUCCACGCCGUAAACGAUGAGUGCUAGAUGUUGGGUCGAAUGGCUCGGUGUCGCAGCUAACGCAAUAAGCACUCCGCCUGGGGAGUACGGUCGCAAGAUUA
rnacentral:rRNA from 1 species